rnacentral:misc_RNA from 1 species
GAUGAAGAACGUAGCGAAAUGCGAUAAGUAAUGUGAAUUGCAGAAUUCAGUGAAUCAUCGAAUCUUUGAACGCACAUUGCGCCCCUUGGUAUUCCGAGGGGCAUGCCCGUUCGAGCGUCAUUAUACCCCUCAAGCCUAGCUUGGUGUUGGGGCCUGCUGUUACCGGCAGCCCUUAAAAUCAGUGGCGGUGCCAUCUGGCUCUAAGCGUAGUAAUACUUCUCGCUACAGGGUCCCGGUGGAUGCUUGCCAUCAACCCCUAAUUUUCUAUGGUUGACCUUGGAUCGGGUAGGGAUACCCGCUGAACUUAAGCAUAUCAAUAAGCGGAGGA